AACGAACGCUGGCGGCGUGCCUAACACAUGCAAGUCGUGCGAGAAAGUUCCUUCGGGAGCGAGUAAAGCGGCGCACGGGUGAGUAACACGUAGGUAACCUGCCCCCCAGUCUGGAACAACUAGAGGAAACUCUAGCUAAUGCCGGAUGAGACCACGAUCCCUUCGGGGGUUGCGGCCAAAGAUGGCCUCUACUUGUAAGCUAUCGCUGAGGGAUGGGCCUGCGGGCCAUUAGCUUGUUGGUGAGGUAACGGCUCACCAAGGCUGUGAUGGCUAGCUGGUCUGAGAGGAUGACCAGCCACACUGGGACUGAGACACGGCCCAGACUCCAACGGGAGGCAGCAGUGGGGAAUAUUGCGCAAUGGGCGAAAGCCUGACGCAGCGACGCCGCGUGGGUGAUGAAGGCCUUCAGGUCGUAAAGCCCUGUCGCAGGGGAAGAAUAAGCAUCGGUAUAAUGCGCCGGUGCCCUGACGGUACCCUGCAAGAAAGCACCGGCUAACUCCGUG
rnacentral:rRNA from 1 species